UCCCUACUAAAAAUACAAAAAUUAGCCAGGCGUGGUGAUGGGUGCCUUGGGAGGCUGAGGCAGGAGAAUUGCUUGAACCCCGGAGGCAGAAGCUGCAGUGAGCCAAGUUCACCCCACUGCACUCCAGCCUGGGCGACAGAGUGAGACUCCCCCUCAAAAAAAAAAAAAAAAAGAAAGAAAGAAAAAGAAAUAAUAGCCUAUCGCCUAUCUCAAUAAAAAUCUCUUUAUAAACUGAGCUUAUAGAAGUAGAA
rnacentral:lncRNA from 1 species